CAGCAGCCGCGGUAAUACGUAGGUGGCAAGCGUUGUCCGGAAUUAUUGGGCGUAAAGGGCUCGCAGGCGGUUUCUUAAGUCUGAUGUGAAAGCCCCCGGCUCAACCGGGGAGGGUCAUUGGAAACUGGGAAACUUGAGUGCAGAAGAGGAGAGUGGAAUUCCACGUGUAGCGGUGAAAUGCGUAGAGAUGUGGAGGAACACCAGUGGCGAAGGCGACUCUCUGGUCUGUAACUGACGCUGAGAAGCGAAAGCGUGGGGAGCGAACAGGAUUAGAUACCCCCGUAGUCCCUGUCUCUUAUAC
rnacentral:rRNA from 1 species